rnacentral:rRNA from 1 species
UACAGAGGUCCCAAGCGUUGUUCGGAUUCACUGGGCGUAAAGGGUGCGCAGGUGGUCGGGUAAGUCUGAUGUGAAAUCCCGCAGCUUAACUGCGGAAUGGCAUUGGAUACUAUUUGGCUAGAGGGUUGGAGGGGGACUGGAAUUCUCGGUGUAGCAGUGAAAUGCGUAGAUAUCGAGAGGAACACCAGUGGCGAAGGCGGCUUGCCAGAAUGCGCUCGACGGUGAGGGAUGAAAGCUGGGGGAGCAAACCGG